GACGAACGCUGGCGGCGUGCUUAACACAUGCAAGUCGAACGAAGAGCGAUGGAAGCUUGCUUCUAUCAAUCUUAGUGGCGAACGGGUGAGUAACGCGUAAUCAACCUGCCCUUCAGAGGGGGACAACAGUUGGAAACGACUGCUAAUACCGCAUACGAUCUAAUCUCGGCAUCGAGGAUAGAUGAAAGGUGGCCUCUACAUGUAAGCUAUCACUGAAGGAGGGGAUUGCGUCUGAUUAGCUAGUUGGAGGGGUAACGGCCCACCAAGGCGAUGAUCAGUAGCCGGUCUGAGAGGAUGAACCGCCACAUUGGGACUGAGACACGGCCCAGACUCCUACGGGAGGCAGCAGUGGGGAAUCUUCCGCAAUGGACGAAAGUCUGACGGAGCAACGCCGCGUGAGUGAUGACGGCCUUCGGGUUGUAAAGCUCUGUUAAUCGGGACGAAAGGCCUUCUUGCGAAUAGUGAGAAGGAUUGACGGUACCGGAAGAGAAAGCCACGGCUAACUACGUG
rnacentral:rRNA from 1 species